rnacentral:lncRNA from 1 species
UACUGCAGAUGGAUCUGGACCCUGGUGUAUUCUCCCUGUGGACCAACAGCUGUCAGAAGACAUUGACACAGGAAGUCAAGGGGCAGGAUCUCCAUCCUCCCAGUUUCUUUGGUUUUACAUAGAACUAAGUGAUCCCGGAGAUCGCUCUCAAGACCAGGAAUCCAUCAGCUUCAGGGGCAAGCAGGGAGGCAGAAAGCUGCUGGGUGCAGAUGGGGAGCAAUGCAGGAUUUGAGCAUGGACUGCACAGAGUUCCUCCCAAGAGAAGAGGAAUGAGGCAGGUUCUGAAGAGAAAGCACUACAGUCAGAGUCUCUGUUGGGACCUAAGAAGUCCAGGAAGCGCAAAUAGGCAACCAGAGCUGAUCUUCUGCCUGUAAUCUUCUACCAUCACUAAGAAUCAUGGGGAGGCAGGUCAGUGGUGUUGUCAGUUUUGAAACCGUAACCUCAUGAUGGCAGUAGAGCUCCACACAAGC